rnacentral:rRNA from 1 species
UACAGCGGUCUCAAGCGUUGUUCGGAUUCAUUGGGCGUAAAGGGUGUGUAGGUGGCGCCGUAAGUCGGGUGUGAAAUUUCGGAGCUUAACUCCGAAACUGCAUUCGAUACUGCGGUGCUUGAGGACUGGAGAGGAGACUGGAAUUCAUGGUGUAGCAGUGAAAUGCGUAGAGAUCAUGAGGAAGACCAGUGGCGAAGGCGGGUCUCUGGACAGUUCCUGACACUGAGACACGAAGGCCAGGGGAGCAAACGGG